rnacentral:rRNA from 1 species
UACGUAGGCAGCGAGCGUUGUUCGGAGUUACUGGGCGUAAAGGGUGUGUAGGCGGUUGUUUAAGUUUGGUGUGAAAUCUCCCGGCUCAACUGGGAGGGUGCGCCGAAUACUGAAUGACUAGAGUACGGGAGAGGAAAGUGGAAUUCCUGGUGUAGCGGUGAAAUGCGUAGAUAUCAUUUGGAACGCCAAUGGUGAAAACAGGUAGCUGGGGCUGUGCUGACGCUGAGACACGAAAGCCAGGGGAGCAAACGGG